AGUUGUGAAUAAACUGACAAAAUGUUCACGAAGAUACUAGUAGCUCUAUUGGUGGUAACCCAUGUGGUUCUAGCUAAGUUUGAGGAACAGAAACCAAGGUUUAAGCGAAGUACUUGUGUAUCGACAAAACAAUAUGGCGAUGCGACGUUGAUCGACUACCCUGGUACAUCAGCAACAUAUCCAAACAACGCUGAAUGUGAUUGGACAAUCUGCCCUGGUACACCGGAAGCACGUGUUGUUAUCAAAAGCAUGGACAUUGAAAGGUCAUACCACAGACAAUGUGCGUACGAUGCAUUGAGCAUACAACAAGUUAAAUAUUGUGGUUCAGUACCUGAGGAUAUGAAUGUGAAGACAAACAACGGUUGUAUUGCAGUCAGCUUUACGAGUGAUUCCAGUGUACGAAGAACUGGUUUCAGCCUUGAAGUUGGGCCAGCUCAAGGUAACGGUAGCUACUCCUCUGUUAACCUUAUUUCUAGUCCAGAAAUUUUUAACCAAUGUGACCUAGACAUGUUAGAUACCUGUACUAUGGUGUUCCACAGCAGCGCUGGUAUAUGUGGGUCACUGGGGUCAUUUUCCACCUGCAUGCGAUAUCAUCAAUGUUCCCACCUUGUUGCUGAAAAUAUUGAACACUUGAAUGAGACUUGCUCUGCUAACAGUUCAGCACUAUCAGG